rnacentral:lncRNA from 1 species
GUGAGGAUGAGGAUGGAGGAGGAUUUUGGGUGGUUUUGGAUGUGGAUCUCGGAUUCCAGCUCGGAUUCCCACCUUUCCUCACAGUGAGGAUGAGGAUGGAGGAGGAUUUUGGGUGGUUUGGAUCUCGGAUUCCAGCUCGGAUUCCCGCCUUUCCUCACGGUGAGGAUGAGGAUGGAGGAGGAUUUUGGGUGGUUUUGGAUGCAGAUCUCGGAUUCCAGCUCGGAUUCCCGCCUUUCCUCACGCCGGGUGAGGGCUCGGCCUCGGGGGAGAAGCCCAGUGACCCCCUGAGCUCUCCCAGCCCCCUCAGUGCCGGAGCUGACCACGCUGGAUCCCGCCGGGUGAAUUCCCAAAGAUUCCGGCCAGGAGGAUUCGGGGUUUGUUCUCCACGGCUCUGACCCUCCUGAACCACCACGGCGCUGUCACCUCAACCUCGGCUCCACGAAACCCUUUGAAAAUCCCACGGGUGGGGAAAUCUCCGCUGGGCUCCGUGUCCCUGCGGAGAAGCCAAAACUCCCCGCCCGUGGAGGAGCCGGGAUAACCUCUUGUUUUAGGAACUCGAUCCACAGAGGGGCCAAAAAACCCCUCUGGGGCCCAACCGGAGCGACUGGAAAUGGUCGAGGAGGCGCAAAACCAACCCAAAACCCCCGCGUGAGCCACAGGUGGAUCUGGCACCGAGGGAUCCCUCACGGAUUGUUGGGAAUGCCGAGGGAAUUCCAGCUGGAUUUUGGGGAAUAGGGACAAAAACCCUGCUGGAAAACGCUGCUGCUGGAGGAGCCACCGGGACAGGGUGGGACCUUGGCCGGGCUCCUGUCACAGAUUCCAUCCUUUCACCCAUUCCUGGCAGUUUGAGCCCAAAAUGAGGCCGGGAUCCCCCUUGGGCGGAGCCGGGGCCCCUCCUGACCCCGCUGGUGCUGCUCCUCAUUGCCUAAUUAAGAGUCUAAUUUAGGUUAUCUGACUAAUGACUCAUUAGAUUCUCGUUAAGGAACCCUUGUCACGCCUCUUCCUUCCCCUCCCCCUGUGCGUCAGAAACCCGAACCACUUUUGGUGCAAACGCCCAGAAUUUGGGGAUAAACCCAUAAAAUCAGUAACAAACUGAUUAAUUAGCUUAAUUAGGCUCCAUCAGGUUUAAUUGCUAUUUGGUCCAACUCUUCCCUGCUCCAAACUCUUUGCUCCCCCCACACUUUGUCCACGUUUUAUUUAUUUUGGGAUUUUUUUCCUCCCCAAACCAAUUCCAGCUGUUUCAGAGCUUAAUUUGUGAUUAAUUAACCCCAGGAGCGUGUGUGAUUAAUUAAACCCGGAGAUUGGGAUGGGAACGUGGCUCCGUGUCCCCUCCUGUCCCACAAACACACCACAGCUGCUGCUCAGACAACGGGAAGGGAAAGGGGCCCAGAACGGCUCAUUUUGGGCGGGUUUCUGUGGUUUGGGGGCUCUCCAACAUGGGGAGGGGGAUGACACAACGUGGAUGAACUUUUCCUCCUGGAUUUCACCCCAAUUUUCCUGGGUUCCACUUUAAUCAGUGAUGUAAAGAUGGAGCUGUUUGGGCCCCACCUCGGCCCAGGAAUUGCGAAACCGUCGCUGCCGGAGCCGUUUCGAAAUAACCAAAAUCAGCCAAAAUCCCCUUUUUUUCCCUGUUUCGUCCCUUUUCUCACCCAGUUUUUUCCCUUCCACAACCCAGGGCUGAAUUUUGGGGUGUUCCAGCUUUAAUUUGGGACCUCGUCCACUCCUUUCUGUUCUCCCCCCACUCAUCCCCCUCUGCUCCAGUCCUGGAAAAGCUCCUUUGAUUUGCCAAAUUUUGGGGGAUUUUUAACCAUGAAAAGGGGAUUUUUGCUUUCUCGCCCCUCUCCUCCUUCCUCUCUUCCCUGCUCUAAACCCCAAAUUAUCCCCAAAAUUAUUGUUAUUAUCCCUGAAAUUACCCCAAAUAUCACUUCAUCCCUGAAAUGUUUUUUUUUUCCCCCAAUCUCAUUCUCCUGCAAAAAACCCAAAUCCCUUAAUUAAUUAUUAAUUAAUGAAUAAACCAUUUGGGAUCCCUUUCCA